rnacentral:misc_RNA from 1 species
GAUGAAGAACGUAGCGAAAUGCGAUACGUAAUGUGAAUUGCAAAUUCAGUGAAUCAUCGAGUCUUUGAACGCACAUUGCGCCCCCUGGUAUUCCGGGGGGCAUGCCUGUCCGAGCGUCAUUGCUGCCCUCAAGCACGGCUUGUGUGUUGGGCCCCGUCCUCCGAUCCCGGGGGACGGGCCCGAAAAGCAGCGGCGGCACCGCGUCCGGUCCUCGAGCGUAUGGGGCUUUGUCACCCGCUCUGUAGGCCCGGCCGGCGCUUGCCGAUCAACCCAAAUUUUUAUCCAGGUUGACCUCGGAUCAGGUAGGGAUACCCGCUGAACUUAAGCAUAUCAAUGAGCGGAGGA